rnacentral:rRNA from 1 species
UACGUAGGGGGCUAGCGUUGUCCGGAAUCAUUGAGCGUAAAGAGCGUGUAGGCGGCCCGGUAAGUCCGCUGUAAAAGUCAAAGGCUCAACCUUUGAAUGUCAGUGGAUACUGCCGGGCUAGAGUCCGGAAGAGGCGAGUGGAACUCCUGGUGUAGCGGUGGAAUGCGCAGAUAUCAGGAAGAACACCAACGGCGAAGGCAGCUCGCUGGGACGGUACUGACGCUGAGACGCGAAAGCGUGGGGAGCGAACAGG